rnacentral:rRNA from 1 species
GAUGAACGCUGGCGGCGUGCUUAACACAUGCAAGUCGAACGAACCUUCGGGUUAGUGGCGGACGGGUGAGUAACGCGUGAGAAUCUGCCCUCAGGAGGGGGAUAACGGUUGGAAACGGCCGCUAAUACCCCAUAUGCCGCGAGGUGAAAUGAAUUUCGCCUGAGGAUGAGCUCGCGUCUGAUUAGCUAGUUGGUGUAGGUAAUGGCUCACCAAGGCAUCGAUCAGUAGCUGGUCUGAGAGGAUGAUCAGCCACACUGGGACUGAGACACGGCCCAGACUCCUACGGGAGGCAGCAGUGGGGAAUUUUCCGCAAUGGGCGAAAGCCUGACGGAGCAACGCCGCGUGAGGGAUGAAGGCCUCUGGGCUGUAAACCUCUUUUAUCAAGGAAGAAGAUCUGACGGUACUUGAUGAAUAAGCCACGGCUAAUUCCGUGA